rnacentral:rRNA from 1 species
UACGAAGGGGCUAGCGUUGCUCGGAAUCACUGGGCGUAAAGCGCACGUAGGCGGCUUUCUAAGUCAGGGGUGAAAUCCUGGAGCUCAACUCCAGAACUGCCUUUGAUACUGGAGAGCUUGAGUCCGGAAGAGGUGAGUGGAACUCCGAGUGUAGAGGUGAAAUUCGUAGAUAUUCGGAAGAACACCAGUGGCGAAGGCGGCUCGCUGGGACGGUACUGACGCUGAGACGCGAAAGCG